rnacentral:lncRNA from 10 species
CACCGGGAACCCUCCCUGCUCCUUCCCUGCCUCUCCCUGUUUUCGUGCCCGCACUUCUUCGUGGGCAUCUGGGCCCGAGUCCUCCGCUUGGGGGCGGUUGUGCGGUCCUGGCUACUGCAGCGUCCGCACCCCGGCCGGGAAGGCUAUGCCAAUGUCCGACCCGCGUCCAGCGUAUAGGAGCGCCCUGGCCCACAGCUGGCGGUAAAACGCGGGACCUGGGUCCCUCGGAGCCCCAGGGGCCUCUGAGCUGGAGUCUAGGAUUAUUUUUGAUGCCUCAGCACCUUUAAAAAGAGACCUCGCUAGAGCAGGGGGCAUCUGUAUUUUCAGUUCUUUGAGGAGUCUCCAGCUAUUUAGCUGUUUUCCAUGGUUCAUCUGCGUUGCUCUAAAUGGGACUGUUUCAUUAUUUUGAUGGCUGAAGAAUAUUUCCUAGUCUACUUUGAAAUAUAUGAUACAUUUGUGUUAAGGCUAGUCACGCUGCUGUGGAAUAGAAGGCCAGAAUUGAUCACUAUCAUCUGAGAGUAACUUUGUACCCAUCACUGAUUCCUUCCGAGACUGCCUCCACUUCCCCAGCAGCCUCUGAUUUCUUCAUGUGGCUGCAGAUGGCAG